CACCUGUCUUGUUCCUAACACUCUCUACAGCUAAGUGUGAUGCUAGCACUGAGGUUUCCGUAGAUGCCUCUUAUCAGGGGGAAUGAUGGCCUCAGAGAAGAAGUAAGGAAGCGCCCCUCCUCUUCGCUCUCCCGGGGCAUGGGUUCCUGACCCCUGGGCCACAGACCGGUACCAUCCGUGCCUACAAGGAACCAGGCCAUACAGCAGGAAGUGAGCAGCGGGCAAGCGAGCCAAGCUUCAUCUGUAUUUACAGCCACUCCCCAUCACUUGCACUACUGCCCAAGUUCCACCUCCCGUCGGAGCAGCAGCAGCAGUAGAUUCUCAUGGGACCCACAGUCAAAGCUGUCUAGCUGCAGGAAAACAAGCUCAGGAU